CACGCGCGCCAUCAAAGAAUAAGCUCAGGCCAACAACUCACUUCCUCCACUGUAGACCAUCAGACUGAAAAUCCCUUUCGGCGGUGGUGACCACCAAAAAUUUAAAUUAAGCCCACCAUUAUGUCUGUCUCAACCUCCUCGUCACUAAUAUCAUAUUGAUUUCACCUAACUCCGAUCCUAAGUCCAAAAACGAUCCAAUCUAUUCAAGAACCUUAACAUUCAAUUUCAUAAAUUAAACCCUGAAUGUACAAACUCAAAGCCCCUAGGGUUGGGGCUUUUAACCAUCUCUCCAUUAUUGACAUGCCAAUAACCAGGAUUUAAAGAAAAAUAGAUUUUUAGACUCACCGUGCCGAAGACCAUGAAGCUGACGAUGAACGCAUGUACAUUCUUCUUGCAAUGACUUAAUUCCCCUUUAUUUCUUCUUCUACCUUUCUCUGUGCUAUUGAUGUUAGAUGAAAAUGGAGUAGUGAAGUCUUGAGCGAAUUGAUGAAAAUGAUUCUUAUGUUGAAGUGUCGAUGACGGUGAUGAAGAUGUGUGAUGAGGUUCUAAUGAAUUAAAUGAGGGAUGAAGAGUGAAUGUGUUUGAUGAUUGAAAGUCAAAUUUUUUGUUGAAUGAAAAAUCCAUAGAGUCAUGAUUGUUAGAGAGAUUUUUUAUAUAGGUUGUUGGAAUGAUAUGAGGAUUUGGGAAUUCAGUUGAAUUACAGUUGGAGAGUGUAACUGAUUUUGUGUAACUGAAUUGGAGGUUUUUGAGGCCAAUGAGCUAGUUUAGUUAUGGAGUUAUAAUUGACUUGUGAAGUUAGUUUGUUAGAUUGUGAAUCUCGAGGUAGUUGACCAGAGACAAUUAGGAUUGGAUGGCUUGGAUUGAUGUGGUUGGAUAAUUGAUGAUAUGUUAAGUUAGGUUAGUUUAUUGUAUUGUGAACUGAUAUGUGAAGUGUUAAGUUAGAUUAGGAUGAGUUCAGUUAGUUAUUCUUGCUCAAUUGCUUGGUCUGCUGAUGUCUAGUUGUGUUUUUCGUAAUGGCUUGGUGUUUGACAUGAUUGAUGAUUAUUUUUGUGAUGCUAAUUGAUUACUUGUUGAUGUGCUGCUUAAGAUGCAAUGUUAUGGACUGUUGAUGAUUGUUGUAUGAUUGAUUGGUUGCACUGCUAUGAUUAAGCUGCAGGAUAACAGGGAAUGAUAUGUUGCUCAUGUUCUACAGACAUUGCUAGGCUUGUACAUGACUGAUGUGAAUUACUACAGGUGUAGUUCUGCAUGAUGGUGUGCUGUAGGGUCUGCAUUUGGCUUUUGCUAGCAAGACUAGGCUUUGUUUUUUACUCAUGUUUCAUGGCAAGCUGACAUGGUUCUGCAGAGGUUUUGCAGGAUGGUUCUAAGUUGCAUCAAGUGUCCAAUUCAUGUCGGCUUGUUGGUUAUGCAUCUUGGUCUGGUUCAUGCUCUACUCAUGGUUUUGGAUUAAACAUGUAUGUAUGGUGUACUAUUGUCGCAGAUAUGCAGUGCUAUGGUUUUACAGUAGCAUUGCUUUAUGCCAUUUGCAGCAUGGUAUUGCUUUAUGGAGGAUGGUGGUUGAAGCAAGGCAACAUGAUGACCAAUUUGGAUUUAAAGCAUGAUGUGCACAAGGAAAUCUAAAGAGUCAUGGUGGAAAUUGAAGACUAGGUUUAGGGUCAAGAUUAGGGGUUUUAGGGUUUUUUAGAAUUGGGUUGACUUUGGUCAAAGUUUACCAAAAAGUCAAUUGUUUACCAAAGUCAAUACUUGGUCAAAGUUCACUUUUUUUUGUAUUUUCUCAUGUAUGGACAUUCAUAUUAUUUAUGAAUGGAAAUUGAUGUUUUUGAAAUUAAGAUUUAUAUUUGGAUGA